rnacentral:lncRNA from 1 species
CAAGGGGAAACAGGAAGUGUGGAGAAGCAGGAAGCAUGGGGAAACAGGAAGUGUGGAGAAGCAGGAAACAUGGGGAAACAAGAAGUGUGGAGAAGCAGGAAACAUGGGGAAACAAGAAGUGUGGAGAAGCAGGAAACAUGGGGAAACAGGAAGUGUGGAGAAGCAGGAAGCAUGGGGAGACAAGAAGUGUGGAGAAGCAGGAAGCAAGGGGAAACAGGAAGUGUGGAGAAGCAGGAAACAUGGGGAAACAAGAAGUGUGGAGAAGCAGAAAACAUGGGGAAACAGGAAGUGUGGAGAAGCAGGAAGCAAGGGGAAACAGGAAGUGUGGAGAAGCAGGAAACAUGGGGAAACAGGAA